GGGACACGUGGUAUCCUGUCUGAAUAUGGGGGGACCAUCCUCCAAGGCUAAAUACUCCUGACUGACCGAUAGUGAACCAGUACCGUGAGGGAAAGGCGAAAAGAACCCCGGCGAGGGGAGUGAAAAAGAACCUGAAACCGUGUACGUACAAGCAGUGGGAGCCUCUUUUAUGGGGUGACUGCGUACCUUUUGUAUAAUGGGUCAGCGACUUAUAUUCUGUAGCAAGGUUAACCGAAUAGGGGAGCCGAAGGGAAACCGAGUCUUAACUGGGCGUUAAGUUGCAGGGUAUAGACCCGAAACCCGGUGAUCUAGCCAUGGGCAGGUUGAAGGUUGGGUAACACUAACUGGAGGACCGAACCGACUAAUGUUGAAAAAUUAGCGGAUGACUUGUGGCUGGGGGUGAAAGGCCAAUCAAACCGGGAGAUAGCUGGUUCUCCCCGAAAGCUAUUUAGGUAGCGCCUCGUGAAUUCAUCUCCGGGGGUAGAGCACUGUUUCGGCAAGGGGGUCAUCCCGACUUACCAACCCGAUGCAAACUGCGAAUACCGGAGAAUGUUAUCACGGGAGACACACGGCGGGUGCUAACGUCCGUCGUGAAGAGGGAAACAACCCAGACCGCCAGCUAAGGUCCCAAAGUCAUGGUUAAGUGGGAAACGAUGUGGGAAGGCCCAGACAGCCAGGAUGUUGGCUUAGAAGCAGCCAUCAUUUAAAGAAAGCGUAAUAGCUCACUGGUCGAGUCGGCCUGCGCGGAAGAUGUAACGGGGCUAAACCAUGCACCGAAGCUGCGGCAGCGACGCUUAUGCGUUGUUGGGUAGGGGAGCGUUCUGUAAGCCUGUGAAGGUGUGCUGUGAGGCAUGCUGGAGGUAUCAGAAGUGCGAAUGCUGACAUAAGUAACGAUAAAGCGGGUGAAAAGCCCGCUCGCCGGAAGACCAAGGGUUCCUGUCCAACGUUAAUCGGGGCAGGGUGAGUCGACCCCUAAGGCGAGGCCGAAAGGCGUAGUCGAUGGGAAACAGGUUAAUAUUCCUGUACUUGGUGUUACUGCGAAGGGGGGACGGAGAAGGCUAUGUUGGCCGGGCGACGGUUGUCCCGGUUUAAGCGUGUAGGCUGGUUUUCCAGGCAAAUCCGGAAAAUCAAGGCUGAGGCGUGAUGACGAGGCACUACGGUGCUGAAGCAACAAAUGCCCUGCUUCCAGGAAAAGCCUCUAAGCAUCAGGUAACAUCAAAUCGUACCCCAAACCGACACAGGUGGUCAGGUAGAGAAUACCAAGGCGCUUGAGAGAACUCGGGUGAAGGAACUAGGCAAAAUGGUGCCGUAACUUCGGGAGAAGGCACGCUGAUAUGUAGGUGAAGCGACUUGCUCGUGGAGCUGAAAUCAGUCGAAGAUACCAGCUGGCUGCAACUGUUUAUUAAAAACACAGCACUGUGCAAACACGAAAGUGGACGUAUACGGUGUGACGCCUGCCCGGUGCCGGAAGGUUAAUUGAUGGGGUCAGCGCAAGCGAAGCUCUUGAUCGAAGCCCCGGUAAACGGCGGCCGUAACUAUAACGGUCCUAAGGUAGCGAAAUUCCUUGUCGGGUAAGUUCCGACCUGCACGAAUGGCGUAA
rnacentral:rRNA from 1 species